rnacentral:rRNA from 1 species
GACGAACGCUGGCGGCGUGCUUAACACAUGCAAGUCGAGCGGAAAGGCCCUGCGUGUGUGGGGUGCACGAGAGGCGAACGGGUGAGUAACCCGUGGGUAACGUGACCUUGACGGUGGGAGAACUUCAGGAGACGGGGGCUGAUACCGAAUAGGAGCUCCAGCUGCAGGGUGGGGGUUGGAAAGUUUCGGCGGGUGGGGAGGGACUCGCGUCUUAUCAGGUUGUGGGUGGGGUAGUGGCUUACGAGGGCUUUGACGGGUAGCCGGCCUGGGAGGGUGACCGGCCACAUUGGGACUGAGCUGCGGCCCAGACCCCUCCGCGACGCAGCAGUGCGGAAUAUUGCACAACGGGCGGAAGCCUGAUGCAGCAACGCCGCGUGCGGGAUGACGGCCUUCGGGUUGUAACCCGCUUUCGCCUGUGACGAAGAGUGAGUGACGGUACUGUGGAAAGAAGCCCCGGCUAACUACGUG